UUGGCCAUUCUUAACGGACUGACCGCCGCCUUGGCCAGGUGCUCCGCAGCAGCUGGGGACUGAGGGCUAUGGGUUAAUUGCAGGGGUCAUGAGGGAGGUAGUGGCCGAAUACUGCACCAGG
rnacentral:lncRNA from 1 species